AGUGAACGCUGGCGGCAGGCCUAAUACAUGCAAGUCGAACGGCAGCACAGCAGAGCUUGCUCUGUGGGUGGCGAGUGGCGGACGGGUGAGGAAUACAUGGGAAUCUGCCCAGUCGUGGGGGAUAACGUAUGGAAACGUACGCUAAUACCGCAUGCGCCCUAAGGGGGAAAGCCGGGGACCGCAAGGCCUGGCGCGAUUGGAUGAGCCCAUGUUCGAUUAGCUAGUUGGCGGGGUAAAGGCCCACCAAGGCGACGAUCGAUAGCUGGUCUGAGAGGAUGAUCAGCCACACUGGAACUGAGACACGGUCCAGACUCCUACGGGAGGCAGCAGUAGGGAAUAUUGGACAAUGGGGCAACCCUGAUCCAGCCAUGCCGCGUGAGUGAAGAAGGCCCUCGGGUUGUAAAGCUCUUUUGUCCGGAAAGAAAGCAAUCGGUUAAUACCCGGUUGUUCUGACGGUACCGGAAGAAUAAGCACCGGCUAACU
rnacentral:rRNA from 1 species